rnacentral:rRNA from 1 species
GAUGAGCGCUAGCUACAGGCUUAACACAUGCAAGUCGAGGGGUAACAAGAGGAAAGCUUGCUUUUCUUGUUGACGACCGGCGCACGGGUGAGUAACGCGUAUCCAACCUGCCUAUAACUAGGGAAUAACCUUGCGAAAGUAAGACUAAUACCCUAUGAUUUCCUUUGAUGACAUCAGAUUAGGAAUAAAGAUUUAUCGGUUAUAGAUGGGGAUGCGUCUGAUUAGCUUGUUGGCGGGGUAACGGCCCACCAAGGCAACGAUCAGUAGGGGUUCUGAGAGGAAGGUCCCCCGCAUUGGAACUGAGACACGGUCCAAACUCCUACGGGAGGCAGCAGUGAGGAAUAUUGGUCAAUGGGCGGAAGCCUGAACCAGCCAAGUAGCAUGCAGGAUGACGGCCCUAUGGGUUGUAAACUGCUUUUAUACAGGAAUAAAGCUAGCCACGUGUGGUUAUUUGUAGGUACUGUAUGAAUAAGGACCGGCUAAUUCCGUGCCAGCCGCCGCCGUAA